UAAGUUAAUAAGGGCGCACGGUGGAUGCCUUGGCACUAGGAGCCGACGAAGGACGUGACAAACGACGAUAUGCCUUGGGUAGCUGUAAGUAAGCGAUGAUCCAGGGAUUUCCGAAUGGGGGAACCCAACAGGUAAUACCUGUUACCUACAUCUGUUAAGGAUGUGAGGAGGAAGACGCAGUGAACUGAAACAUCUAAGUAGCUGCAGGAAGAGAAAGCAAAAGCGAUUGCCUUAGUAGCGGCGAGCGAAACGGCAGAAGGGCAAACCGAAGAGUUUACUCUUCGGGGUUGUAGGACUGCAAUGUGGACUCAAAGAUUAUAGAAGAAUGAUUUGGGAAGAUCAGCCAAAGAGAGUAAUAGCCUCGUAUUUAAAAUAGUCUUUGUACUUAGCAGUAUCCUGAGUACGGCGGGACACGUGAAAUCCCGUCGGAAUCUGGGAGGACCAUCUCCCAACCCUAAAUACUCCCUAGUGACCGAUAGUGAACCAGUACCGUGAGGGAAAGGUGAAAAGCACCCCGGGAGGGGAGUGAAAUAGAACCUGAAACCGUGUGCCUACAACAAGUUCGAGCCCGUUAAUGGGUGAGAGCGUGCCUUUUGUAGAAUGAACCGGCGAGUUACGUUAUGAUGCGAGGUUAAGUUGAAGAGACGGAGCCGUAGGGAAACCGAGUCUGAAUAGGGCGCCUUAGUAUCAUGACGUAGACCCGAAACCAUGUGACCUACCCAUGAGCAGGUUGAAGGUGCGGUAAGACGCACUGGAGGACCGAACCAGGGCACGUUGAAAAGUGCUUGGAUGACUUGUGGGUAGCGGAGAAAUUCCAAACGAACUUGGAGAUAGCUGGUUCUCUCCGAAAUAGCUUUAGGGCUAGCGUCGACAUUAGAGAUUCUUGGAGGUAGAGCACUGUUUGGGUGAGGGGUCCAUCCCGGAUUACCAAUCUCAGAUAAACUCCGAAUGCCAAUGAAUUAUGGUCGGCAGUCAGACUGCGAGUGCUAAGAUCCGUAGUCGAAAGGGAAACAGCCCAGACCACCAGCUAAGGUCCCAAAAUAAUUGUUAAGUGGAAAAGGAUGUGGGGUUGCACAGACAACUAGGAUGUUAGCUUAGAAGCAGCUAUUCAUUCAAAGAGUGCGUAAUAGCUCACUAGUCGAGUGACCCUGCGCCGAAAAUGUACCGGGGCUAAAACAAUUUACCGAAGCUGUGGAUACCUUUAUAGGUAUGGUAGGAGAGCGUUCUAUGUGUGAUGAAGGUAUACCGUGAGGAGUGCUGGAACGCAUAGAAGUGAGAAUGCCGGUAUGAGUAGCGAAAGACAGGUGAGAAUCCUGUCCACCGUAAGACUAAGGUUUCCAGGGGAAGGCUCGUCCGCCCUGGGUUAGUCGGGACCUAAGGAGAGACCGAAAGGUGUAUCCGAUGGACAACAGGUUGAUAUUCCUGUACUAGAGUAUGUAGUGAUGGAGGGACGCAGUAGGCUAACUAAAGCAGACGAUUGGAAGAGUCUGUCUAAGCAGUGAGGUGUGAAUUGAGUCAAAUGCUUAAUUCUAUAACAUUGAGCUGUGAUGGGGAGCGAAGUUUAGUAGCGAAGUUAGUGACGUCACACUGCCAAGAAAAGCUUCUAGCGUUUAAACAUACUCUACCCGUACCGCAAACCGACACAGGUAGUCGAGGCGAGUAGCCUCAGGUGAGCGAGAGAACUCUCGUUAAGGAACUCGGCAAAAUGACCCCGUAACUUCGGGAGAAGGGGUGCUGACUUUAAGUCAGCCGCAGUGAAUAGGCCCAAGCAACUGUUUAUCAAAAACACAGCUCUCUGCUAAAUCGUAAGAUGAUGUAUAGGGGGUGACGCCUGCCCGGUGCUGGAAGGUUAAGAGGAGUGCUUAGCGUAAGCGAAGGUAUGAAUUGAAGCCCCAGUAAACGGCGGCCGUAACUAUAACGGUCCUAAGGUAGCGAAAUUCCUUGUCGGGUAAGUUCCGACCCGCACGAAAGGCGUAAUGAUUUGGGCACUGUCUCAACGAGAGACUCGGUGAAAUUUUAGUACCUGUGAAGAUGCAGGUUACCCGCGACAGGACGGAAAGACCCCAUGGAGCUUUACUGCAGUUUGAUAUUGAGUGUCUGUACCACAUGUACAGGAUAGGUAGGAGUCUAAGAGAUCGGGACGCCAGUUUCGAAGGAGACGCUGUUGGGAUACUACCCUUGUGUUAUGGCCACUCUAACCCAGAUAGGUGAUCCCUAUCGGAGACAGUGUCUGACGGGCAGUUUGACUGGGGCGGUCGCCUCCUAAAAGGUAACGGAGGCGCCCAAAGGUUCCCUCAGAAUGGUUGGAAAUCAUUCGCAGAGUGUAAAGGUAUAAGGGAGCUUGACUGCGAGAGCUACAACUCGAGCAGGGACGAAAGUCGGGCUUAGUGAUCCGGUGGUUCCGUAUGGAAGGGCCAUCGCUCAACGGAUAAAAGCUACCCUGGGGAUAACAGGCUUAUCUCCCCCAAGAGUUCACAUCGACGGGGAGGUUUGGCACCUCGAUGUCGGCUCGUCGCAUCCUGGGGCUGUAGUCGGUCCCAAGGGUUGGGCUGUUCGCCCAUUAAAGCGGCACGCGAGCUGGGUUCAGAACGUCGUGAGACAGUUCGGUCCCUAUCCGUCGCGGGCGUAGGAAAUUUGAGAGGAUCUGCUCCUAGUACGAGAGGACCAGAGUGGACUUACCGCUGGUGUACCAGUUGUCUUGCCAAAGGCAUCGCUGGGUAGCUAUGUAGGGAAGGGAUAAACGCUGAAAGCAUCUAAGUGUGAAACCCACCUCAAGAUGAGAUUUCCCAUGAUUAUAUAUCAGUAAGAGCCCUGAGAGAUGAUCAGGUAGAUAGGUUAGAAGUGGAAGUGUGGCGACACAUGUAGCGGACUAAUACUAAUAGCUCGAGGACUUAUCCA
rnacentral:rRNA from 3 species